AAGACUAUAGACCUGCGGAGUACCUGCGGAGGGAUCAUUAAAAAGAGUUCUAAACUCCAAACCCACUGCGUACAUACACGUUGUUGCUUCGGUAGGCGGCUUUCAGAGCCUUUGGCCCCCCGUGGGCGCCUGCCGGAGGUCCAAAACUCUUCUGUUUUUAGUACCGUGCCUCUCUGAGUUUGUUACAAAUACAAGUAAAAACUUUCAGCAAUGGAUCUCU
rnacentral:misc_RNA from 1 species